rnacentral:rRNA from 1 species
CCCGCUGAACUUAAGCAUAUCAAUAAGCGGAGGAAAAGAAACCAACAGGGAUUGCCCCAGUAACGGCGAGUGAAGCGGCAACAGCUCAAAUUUGAAAUCUGGCCCCUAGGGUCCGAGUUGUAAUUUGCAGAGGAUGCUUUUGGCGAGGUGCCUUCCGAGUUCCCUGGAACGGGACGCCAUAGAGGGUGAGAGCCCCGUCUGGUUGGAUACCGAGCCUCUGUAAAGCUCCUUCGACGAGUCGAGUAGUUUGGGAAUGCUGCUCUAAAUGGGAGGUAUAUGUCUUCUAAAGCUAAAUAUUGGCCAGAGACCGAUAGCGCACAAGUAGAGUGAUCGAAAGAUGAAAAGCACUUUGAAAAGAGGGUUAAAUAGUACGUGAAAUUGUUGAAAGGGAAGCGCUCAUGACCAGACUUGGGCCCGGUGAAUCAUCCAGCGUUCUCGCUGGUGCACUUUGCCGGGCUCAGGCCAGCAUCAGUUUGCUUCGGGGGAUAAAGGCUUUGGGAAUGUGGCUCCUUCGGGAGUGUUAUAGCCCAUUGCAUAAUACCCUGGGGCGGACUGAGGUUCGCGCAUUCGUGCAAGGAUGCUGGCGUAAUGGUCAUCAGCGACCCGUCUUGAAACACGG